rnacentral:ncRNA from 16 species
GCAUGAAGAAGACGUCUCGGAUCGUGGGAAGCCGGGUGAGAAUCCCGCACGGUACCGCCACUGUGUUUCGGCCUUGCCGAUCAGCCAGAAUACCGACCGAGAAGCGUGUGUGCGCA